UGCGGAUUCGUAUAAUGGAAGUACAGCCGACUCUGAAUCGGUAGGUAUAGGUUCGAUUCCUUUAUCCGCAG
rnacentral:tRNA from 1 species